GAUGAACGCUGGCGGCGUGCCUAAUACAUGCAAGUCGAGCGAACAGAUGAGGAGCUUGCUCCUCUGACGUUAGCGGCGGACGGGUGAGUAACACGUGAAUAACCUACCUAUAAGACUGGGAUAACUUCGGGAAACCGGAGCUAAUACCGGAUAAUAUAUUGAACCGCAUGGUUCAAUAGUGAAAGACGGUUUUGCUGUCACUUAUAGAUGGAUCCGCGCCGCAUUAGCUAGUUGGUAAGGUAACGGCUUACCAAGGCAACGAUGCGUAGCCGACCUGAGAGGGUGAUCGGCCACACUGGAACUGAGAAACGGUCCAGACUCCUACGGGAGGCAGCAGUAGGGAAUCUUCCGCAAUGGGCGAAAGCCUGACGGAGCAACGCCGCGUGAGUGAUGAAGGUCUUCGGAUCGUAAAACUCUGUUAUUAGGGAAGAACAAAUGUGUAAGUAACUAUGCACGUCUUGACGGUACCUAAUCAGAAAGCCACGGCUAACUACGUG
rnacentral:rRNA from 1 species